CCUACGGGAGGCAGCAGUGGGGAAUCUUCCACAAUGGGCGAGAGCCUGAUGGAGCAACGCCGCGUGAAUGAAGAAGGUCUUAGGAUCGUAAAACCCUGUUGUUAAAGGAGAAAGUGCGUGAGAGUAACUGUUCACGUUUCGACGGUAUCUAACCAGAAAGCCACGGCUAGAUACGUGCCAGCCGCCGCGGUAAUGCGUAGGUGGCAAGCGUUAUCCGGAUUUAUUGGGCGGAAAGGGAACGGGGGCGGUCUGUUAAGUCUGAUGUGAAAGCCUUCGGCUUAACCGGAGUAGUGCAUUGGAAACUGGGAGACUUGAGUGCAGAAGAGGAGAGUGGAAUUCGAUGUGUAGCGGUGAAAUGCGUAGAUAUAUGGAAGAACACCAGUGGCGAAAGCGGCUCUCUGGUCUGUAACUGACGCUGAGGUUCGAAAGCGUGGGUAGCAAACAGGAUUAGAUACCCUUGUAGUC
rnacentral:rRNA from 1 species